rnacentral:rRNA from 1 species
AUGGGGAAGCGCGCGGCGGGCACCCUGUCGGGCGGGUCGAGGGAGGGCGUGAAGAAGGGGUGGCUCAUGUCGACCUCGCCGGGGAAGACGCCGAGGAGGGGCAGGCUCCCGUGGCGGGCGCCGGAAGAGGCGGAGGAAGCGGCGGCGCUUGACGAGGCCGCGCCAGCGCUUGCUGGCGAGGGAGGCGCGGAGGAGGGAGGACGGCUGCGGGGGGAGGCGGAGGAGGAUCUCCUCGAGGAGGUCGUCGUCCUCGAGCGGAGGCACCGGCGCCGGCGCCGGCGACGGCGACGGCGGGGUGGGGCGGCGGCGGCAAGCCAUGGAGAUGGAGGAGGGUUUCUCUGUUCCAGAAUAUUCCACUCGAUUCCGCUCACUCCCACUUCACUAUCGAGAGCUACAUACUAA